rnacentral:rRNA from 2 species
AGAGUUUGAUCCUGGCUCAGAACGUACGCUGGCGGCACGCCUAACACAUGCAAGUCGAACGAAGUAGCAAUACUUAGUGGCAGACGGGUGAGUAACAUGUAGGUAUCUACCCUUUGGCCUGGAAUAACACGAGGAAACUUGUGCUAAUACCGGAUAAGUCUUUACGGAGAAAGCUUUAUGCACCAUUGGAUGAGCCUGCACUUGAUUAGUUUGUUGGUGGGGUAAUGGCCUACCAAGACUGUGAUCAAUAGCUGAUUUGAGAGGAUGAUCAGCCACAUUGGGACUGAGACACGGCCCAAACUCCUACGGGAGGCAGCAGUGGGGAAUCUUGCACAAUGGAGGAAACUCUGAUGCAGCGAUGCCGCGUGAGUGAAGAAGGCCCUUGGGUUGUAAAGCUCUUUCGUCGGGGAAGAAAAUGACUGUACCCGAAUAAGAAGGUCCGGCUAACUUCGUGCCAGCAGCCGCGGUAAUACGAAGGGACCUAGCGUAGUUCGGAAUUACUGGGCUUAAAGAGUUCGUAGGUGGUUGAAAAAGUUGGUGGUGAAAUCCCAGAGCUUAACUCUGGAACUGCCAUCAAAACUUUUCAGCUAGAGUUUGAUAGAGGAGAGCAGAAUUUCUAGUGUAGAGGUGAAAUUCGUAGAUAUUAGAAAGAAUACCAAUUGCGAAGGCAGCUUUCUGGAUCAUUACUGACACUGAGGAACGAAAGCAUGGGUAGCGAAGAGGAUUAGAUACCCUCGUAGUCCAUGCCGUAAACGAUGUGUGUUAGACGUUGGAAAUUUAUUUUCAGUGUCGCAGGGAAACCGAUAAACACACCGCCUGGGGAGUACGACCGCAAGGUUAAAACUCAAAUGAAUUGACGGGGACCCGCACAAGUAGUGGAGCAUGUGGUUUAAUUCGAAGAUACGCGCAGAACCUUACCAACACUUGACAUGUUCGUCGCGACUCUAAGAGAUUAGAGUUUUCGGUUCGGCCGGACGAAACACAGGUGCUGCAUGGCUGUCGUCAGCUCGUGUCGUGAGAUGUUGGGUUAAGUCCCGCAACGAGCGCAACCCUCACUUUUAGUUGCCAUCAUUAAGUUGGGCACUCUGAAAGAACUGCCAGUGAUAAGCUGGAGGAAGGUGGGGAUGACGUCAAGUCCUCAUGGCCCUUACGUGUUGGGCUACACACGUGCUACAAUGGUAUCUACAACAGGAAGCAAAACGGCAACGUUAAGCAAAUCCCGAAAAGAUACCUCAGUUCGGAUUGCACUCUGCAACUCGAGUGCAUGAAGCUGGAAUUACUAGUAAUCGUGGAUCAGCGUGCCACGGUGAAUGCGUUCCCGGGUCUUGUACACACCGCCCGUCACACCAUGGGAGUUGGUUCUACCUUAAGGCAAGGUUUUAAACCCUUGACCACGGUAUAGUCAGCGACUGGGGUGAAGUCGUAACAAGGUAACC